UCCAGUUUAUCACUGGCAGUCUCCUUUGAGUUCCCGGCCGAACCGCUGGCAACAAAGGAUAAGGGUUGCGCUCGUUGCGGGACUUAACCCAACAUUUCACAACACGAGCUGACGACAGCCAUGCAGCACCUGUCUCAGAGUUCCCGAAGGCACCAAAGCAUCUCUGCUAAGUUCUCUGGAUGUCAAGAGUAGGUAAGGUUCUUCGCGUUGCAUCGAAUUAAACCACAUGCUCCACCGCUUGUGCGGGCCCCCGUCAAUUCAUUUGAGUUUUAACCUUGCGGCCGUACUCCCCAGGCGGUCGACUUAACGCGUUAGCUCCGGAAGCCACUCCUCAAGGGAACAACCUCCAAGUCGACAUCGUUUACGGCGUGGACUAC
rnacentral:misc_RNA from 1 species